CGGCUAAUUUGAUGACUUAGUCAGUUAACUAAUUUUCUAGAUUGACUUAGAAGAUUAUUGAUUUAUAUUACUUUUUAUGUUCUUUUGUCUCUAAAGACUGAGUCGGCUAUCUUUCUUCAUGAAUCGGCUAUGCUCCAGUCUUGAUUGACUAAGUUGAUUAUAGGGUCGACUUAAGAAAAUACCUUGAAUCUUUACCUUUCUAUCUUCAUCCUG
rnacentral:lncRNA from 1 species